GACGAACGCUGGCGGCGUGCUUAACACAUGCAAGUCGAACGGAAAGGCCCUGCUUUUGUUGGUUGCUCGAUUGGCGAACGGGUGAGUAACACGUGUGUAACCUGCCCUUGACUUUGUGAUAACUUCAGGAAACUGGGUCUAAUACCCGAUAGGAGCUCCUGCUGCAUGGUGGGGGUUGGAAAGUUUCGGCGGUUGGGGAUGGACUCGCGGCUUAUCAGCUUGUUGGUGUGGUAGUUGCUUACCAAGGCUUUGACGGGUAGCCGGCCUGAGAGGGUGACCGGCCACAUGGGGACUGAGAUACGGCGCAGACGCCUACGGGAGGCAGCAGUGGGGAAUAUUGCACAAUGGGCGGAAGCCUGAUGCAGCAACGCCGCGUGCGGGAUGACGGCCUUCGGGUUGUAAACCGAUUUCGACUGUGACGAAGAGUGAGUGACAGUAAUGGAUAAAGAAGCAACGGCUAACUACGUG
rnacentral:rRNA from 1 species